CCUACGGGUGGCAGCAGUGGGGAAUAUUGGGCAAUGGAGGCAACUCUUACCCAGCAACGCCGCGUGAGCGAUGAAGGUCUUCGGAUUGUAAAGCUCUGUCGCAGGGGACGAAGUAUGACGGUACCCUGUAAGAAAGCCCCGGCAAACUACGUGCCAGCAGCCGCGGUAAUACGUAGGGGUCUAGCGUUGUCCGGAAUUACUGGGCAUAAAGGGAGUGUCGACGGCUUGUCAAGUUAAGUGUGAAAGCCUGCGGCUUAACCGGCGCAUUGCACUGAAAACUGACUCGCUAGAGUGCAGGAGAGGGGAGUGGAAGUCCUAGGGUAGCGGGGGAAUGGGUAGAUAGUAGGAGGAACACCAGAGGCGAAGGCGGCUCACUGGACUGUAACUGACGUGGAGGAUCGAAAGCGUGGGGAGCAAACAGGAUUAGAUACCCGAGUAGUC
rnacentral:rRNA from 1 species